rnacentral:lncRNA from 1 species
ACGGACGGAAACGUUUCUGAAUUUAAAAAAAGGCGGGUCGCUGACGUGGAGGUUUUGGCGGGUUAUUUUUUUCCGACGGAUUCAAAAACGACUGCCCGUACAGUGCCCGUAAAGUGAUGUGACCGGUUCGCCGUUUACAUUUCCGACGGACUCACCGAGGGAUUUGAAAUGGCAGAUCCGUACGGUGACAUGUCUAUGUUUCCGUCAGAAUCACCGGCGUAAUAACCGACGGAAAAAGUUAAUAUA